GGAGGUGUGGCCAUAGGGUCCAUGUCUGGUCCCACCACAUCCUCCUUUCUGGGCCUGUCCCCUGCUCUGCUUCCCUGUCACCAUGAGAUCUAAGCUCAUUUCUGCUUGCAGAGUCAGCAGUCUCCUUCCUAUCAAUGUGGACGGCUCAGUACCCAGGACUUGAACAUGGGCAGUAACUACCCUAGGUUGGAACUGAAGUGGGGUCCUGCGCUGCGGCGGGUGGGGCAGCCUGCAGGAUGCGUGUGCUGCGUCCACUGCAGGCGUACAAUGGCAUCAGGACGGCACAGCACCAAGGAGGGCCGCCUAAUGGAGAACCCCAGCCUGGGUGGCUUCAACAACGGAAAUUUAUUUUCAUACAGUCCUGGAGGUUAAAGUCUAGCACCAAGCUGUCUGCACUGCUGUUCCUCUGAGGUCUCUCCCCGGCUUAGCGAUGGCGUCUUCCCCCGGUCUCCCCUGUGUGUAUCUGAGUCCCAAGCACAUCUUACAGUGGCCCUGGUCACGAUGGACGAAGGUCCACCCUAAAGACUCCUUGGUUAAAUCCCCUCUUUAAACAGCCUGUCUCCCAGAACAGCCACAGUCUGAGGCACUGGAGGUUAGGACUUCAGUAUACAAGUUUGGCCGGGGCGAGGAGACUCAAUUCAGCUCGUGAAGGCUGAUAUUGUCAACCCCUCAUCAGCCACACUGGGGCUCUAAAACACGGCCCAGGGCUGCGCAGCCUGACGAAAACAACAGGGUGGGGAGAAACAGGACCCUCUCUUUACAGACUUUGCAGCCGAUGUAAGCAAACUGCCUGUCUGAUUCCCCAAACUGCAGUGCGCCAGGAUGCUGAGCAACCACCAAGCAGGAAGAAGCCUCUCUGUUCCUGCAGAUGCGCAACCCAAGCAGGAAAUGACUCUAGCACCACCUCCGCGGCUGAGGAGCCUUCGCAAAACUGUGCCCUCCGCUGUGAGGACAGAGCGCCAUAACAGCACUUCUGGAUUGUCAGCAGGAGCCCUCGGCAACCGCUGUUCUGCUGCCUGUUUCUGAGUUCGACUAUUUUGGCUGCUCCAUGUCCCCAGGCCCCCGGGCCACUCUACCUCUGGAAUCAUUUCACCAUGGAGUGUGACUGUUCACCGGAAUCUCUCAGGAGUGAGCAAGAGCUCCUUACGUCUUGCACUAUGCUCUACUGCAUAGCAUGUGGCUCUGGCAGAAGUACGAUCAAAUGGAAACUGGAACGAGAAUCAGCCCUUGCCCACAUUAAUUACUUUAUGUGAUCACUUAGUGCAUUUGUGUGUAAUAAGUCUGGGGAGGGUAGCACUCCUGCUAUAACAGUAACUGGGACACUCUACCUGAUUCUAAUCCUAGAUCAUUAUAUUCUCACUAGGAUUUUAUAAUCUCACUUAAAUCUGAAGUGACUGUGAAAUCCUUCCUAAUGUGCUCUAAGAAGAAAAUAACAAGGAUAAUAAAAUAUAAGUGUCUCUGGAGCCACAGCAGCCGUACUGGCACCAGCUGGAGAAUGAAGCCAACAUAGGAGAAGACAGAGCACAUGGAAUCACCCAGGACUAGAACAAAGCUGAAAGUGCCACGUCCAGACAGCACUGAGAGGCAAUAAAGGUCUUUACUGGGGCCUUCAUGAGGCAAGAUUUCCAGUUAUUUGCAUUCCAAAGCAUUCAAACUCAUAGCCAAGUGUGCCCUGACGGUUACUCACUUGGGUCAUAAAACAUUAUGUCAGGCACUGAGUUCAGCACACAAGCUUGUCUGAUUUCUCAGUUCUAGGAAGCAGGCUUAUCUGAUUUCCUAGUUCAUGGAAGAUUAGAGACAGCAAGUGAGAGGUGGAGGAAAGGAGGGCAGCUGGUCAGGGAAGGAAGAGACACAGAGGCAAAAACCAGAACACAAGAUGUGGCACUGGAGGGUCACUGAAUGUGCUGGCAGAACGAUCCCCUCUCGGUAGCCCCGGUGUGCAUCAGGCACAGGCCAAUGACUAAACCACAAUGACGGCCCUGUGUCGUCAAGGGAAGUUGGAUUUCUUUCUGUUUUAGGAGGGAGAUGAGGGUGAAUAAUGUUUAAUAAUACUACUUUGUAAACAAAGAAAAGGUUCAAUGAUUAAAAGAGUAAACUAAUCUGAGAAGUCCCACAGAGAACAAGCUCACUGGGUAAGCUCAACAAAUCGUGCAAUAUACACACACAGAUGUGUGCAAGUGAAGCCUGCUAAGAAGUUUCAUCCAGAGAAAAGGAAGGAAAGCAAAGCAGGCAGUCGUCUGAUUGUUAGGGAGAGCACCUCAAUCCAGGGUCCGCGCCAGAAGCCAGCAAUGCAGAAGCCAAGCGGCAACUGAGGAUGCGGCCUUGCUCCUCAGCAAGCGACCUGCUUCUAACCCAAUGGCUCAGCAAGCUGCGAAGCUGUUCCUUCAGAAGCCUGCCAGUGGGAAACAAGCUGCUUGACUUUUCUUGGUAGAAGGCAGUUGAGCACUUCUAAUUAAAUGUAAAUAAUUCUCAGAACCAACCGCUUGUAGACAAAAACAACUGGAAAACUCGCAGACACUAAAACUGCACCACGCAAAACAGGUUCUGGACCUCUGCACACACACGGAGUUCACCAGAUGAGGUAGCCACCGUGGCAGACACUGCUCCAACCGAGUGGUUCCUGGCCACGUGUGGGAGACCAGGUGGACACCAGGGUCUACAGCGCAGGUGGGGGCGGUUUGUUUACCAAGGAUGGGGCACAAACAAUGCAAAACUGGAAGUGGAGUGUGCAGGUGGGCACAGGGCUUUUCUGCAGUCCUCUGGCACCUUGUGAUCUUGCACAGACGGCUCUCCUACGCUCCCCCAGGUCCCACCCGGGCUCAGAGGCAGAAGAUGGGCUGUGGACACAGCCUCCGCCCAACACACUCUUUUUCUGGUUUUAACACAGAAGCUUACAUAAUAUGCAAGUCAAGAUAAGGAAGAAGAAAGACUCUGAUACCUUCUCUGAUUACUAACACAUUUGUGUGUAUCUUACACACAGUUACUAAAUGGAUGGUAAGUGAUGCAUUAUGCUGAGUGUUAUUUAAAGAAAAUCUAUAAAUAAUUAAAUAAC